rnacentral:lncRNA from 1 species
GGCUGUUUCAAUAUCAUUUUGUACAGUUUUAAUGUUAAUCCGUUGCAGCAGGUACAGUUCAAUUAUGAUUCUGAUCUCCCUCUCCCUCUCCCCCCCUCUCUCUCUCUCUGUGUGUAACUACCUCUCUCUCUCUCUCUCUCUCUCUCUCUCUCUCUGUAACUACCUUUUUCUCCCUCUCUCUCUCUCUCUCUCUCUCUCUCUCUCUGUAACUACCUUUUUUUCCCAGUCUCUCUAAUCUCUAUCUCUUUCUAUCUGAUCUCUUUCUUCUCUGCCUAUCUCUCUAUUUCUCUCUCUGCUCUAUUUAUCUUCUAAUCUCUCAAUUCACUGUUACUUUUACAUUUUGGCACAUGUAUAGCAGAAAACACCAAAAAAAACACACAAACACAAAACUGAAAAACAUAAAUCCUGACAGUUGAUCUAGGUUAUCAUAUAGAAAUAACUAUAUGCUUUGCUGCAUGAAGGAGACUAUUUAUCAAUGACCAGGGAUGGAAAUCCCAUUUUCUGGGUUGAAGAGUGAAGAGUGGAUCACGGGUAUUUUGGGCAAUUAAUGUCUGUGUUCAUAUUAUAUCGUGAGAAUAUUGGGGGUGAAGGAGAAUCGGAUUUGAGACCUCUGCCAAACAAAAGCUCUAUACCAUGUUGAGAACCGGUCCAUCUAAAACCCUAAAGUGUUCAAGAAAGGCCCAAAUGGAUCUUAUGCUAUUUUCAACAACACUUACGGCUUACCUGAACCCAAUUCAACUGAAUUUACACACAAAUUUUUCUUAUUAACAAAAAUCUUUCUUAUUAGCAAAUUUAACUAAUUUGCGACAUGCACACGCACUGGGUCUUACUCUAAUAUAAACCAAAUUAGCCUACAAAUUAAAAACUAGUCUCUGAUCAAUUUUUAAUCACUAUUUUUAACUACAGAAAUCACCCGUUUGUACAUCACAAAUCAUUAUCUUAUAUAUAACAUCUCUCUAAAAUAUAAUCACACACACACACACACACACACACACACAAUGUAUAUGAUUAUCAUCUUCACCCGUACGGUAAUAAUGGACCUCCUUCCACCAUUAACAGCACCUUUUAUGACUUGCCACUAUCGCAUAGCAUCACUAAUAGCCGCCGCCAUUUGUCACUAUAACUUACCACAACUAGCGACUACUUACUACUCCCUCCGUCCCAUUGAUUAGUAUAUAUAUGGGGAGUGGCACGGAGAUUAAGAAAAAGUGUAAUUUAGUAAAGAAAAGUAAGAAAAGUGGGUGAAGUGGUGGGACCCAUUAAUAUUUAAUGUGUAAAAGGAGUGUAGUGCGAGUAAAGUGGUGGGACCUACUAAUAUUUAAUGUAUAAAGUUGGUGUGGUGGAAGAAUAUAGUGGGUGUAGUUAAGUUUUUAUAUUAUAAAAACUUACUAUUUUUGGUAUGUAUACAAUUGAUGGGACGUCCCAAAAAGAAAACUGUAUACAAUCCAAUGGGACGGAGGGAGUAUACCAUAACACACCUCUUCUUAUCACUUACUACCAUCAUGGACCUCCUCAACUAUAAUUGAUCAUCAAUAAUUGGCUACCAAUAAUUAACAUAAGUAGAUUUUUUUAAUUAUCAAAAAUAAAACUACUGAUUUUACUGUAUGAAACAAUGUUUAAUGCAAUAUAAACUAGUGAUUCAUGUAGUUGUAAACAUUGAUUAUGGAACUGGUUUUUAGUUUGUGUUUAAGAAUUGGUUUGUAUUUGAUCACUAGAAUGUGUCAAGAUUGAGGGUCCAUUGGUUAAACAAUUGAGGAAUAGGAAAUACAUAUUAGAGAUGAGAAAGCGUGAGGGUGCGGAAUUGUGAGAUGGAGAGAGGUAAAGGAGGCGGCUGGAAGAAUUUAGUAUAGUUGGGGUUAAUUUUAGUAUCACUCAACUGGUUUAUUUUGGAUUUGGACUUUUUAAAUUUGGGAUAACUGAAACCAAAACAAAACUCUUUAGGUAUGAAAUAUCAUUUAAAAAACAGGUUCGGUCAAUUAGGAUCAGAAUGAAUCAGGAAUCCAUCAGAUCAGGAUAAUCUCUCAUCCAUAACAAUGACCAAGCUUUUACUUAAUCUUUAUUAGUUAUUUCUUUGAUUUAUGUUUCUUCAUUUAUCUAGUUUCUUAACAAAACAUUGCUGCUAGACGUCGUAUUCUGCUUGGAUAUGGAGCAUCCCCUGAUUUAUUGAACAUAUGAUUGAGAUUUACUUUAGAUGAAUGACGGUAAAGCUCAGUGUGCUGUUUAUUUUCAGUUCCAUCCUAUUACCUGUAUAUUUUUCUUUUCUAAAUGAGGAUGCUAAGCUAAAUGAAAGAAGAGUAGCAAAACAUGAAGAUUGAAAGCACAUUCACAGAAAUAAAGAGGUGGAGAAAUUAAACCUUAGAGGAACUUGGAUUGAGAAAAUCCGGCUUCUUAUUUUCUAUAUAUCAUGACAUCACGGCAUAGUUUACAGAAUAAUUUUCUGUCAUCCUGCACAGUAAGUAGUUGUCUAUGACACCCAACGGCUUUUUGGGUAAUCAACCCAUCUGUUUAGACCUGACCUAGUGUACUAAAUUUAAAAAAACUCACAACAUUACUCUGUCAAGCCUUUCUGAUUGAAAUUAACUGUACUUGCAAAUUUGCAACCCCUGAGCAACAACUUGCGAGGAUGCCGGUAUCGACUAACCGUCUCCAGCACCGCAGCUAGUUUCAGUAGGAAUUGUCGCCUUCUCUUCACUUCUUUCUUCGUCUAAUCAUGAUUUCUUUCUCCUCUCUUUGCUUUUUUACAUCUUUGUCGUAUUAUUUCUUUCUAUUCCAUUGUUUCUUACUUUUUACUCCAGCUUUAUUUUUUUUAGCCGGCUACUUCUUUUAGGCUCUAGUAUACCCACUGGUAACUUAAUCUAUACAAGUUAAUAUCUAAUAUUAAGCCUCUUGACGUAAUAAUUACUUUGAUCAUUUAUGAAGUAUCAAGUACGAUUUUGCUACUUUUGCUGCUUGAUACCUUGAUGACAUUGAUUAAUAUGCCAGUGUAUCUUCGAGCUACUUAUAUGCACCUUGAAUACAACAUUGUUUUGUAAUUACUUCAUGUUUCUGCCCUUGUAAACUUUUAAUGUUCGGUGUCCAAAUGAAAAACUUAAAUUACUCGAUUCACAGAGGUCUAAGCCUCGAAGUCUCUAACAGAGAACGUUAUAUCAUGUAUGAUAUGUUGUCGGUCUAUGUUGAUUGAUCUAUAUGGUAACUGAUUGUCUCAUUCAAAUACAGU